rnacentral:tRNA from 1 species
GCCCGCUUAGCUCAGUGGUAGAGCGCAUCACUUGUACCGGUUCGAACCGGGUAAUGAUGAGGUCAGUCGUUCAAUCCGGCUAGUGGGCA